rnacentral:rRNA from 1 species
UACGGAGGGAGCAAGCGUUACUCGGAAUUAUUGGGCGUAAAGGGCGCGUAGGCGGCCAGCACAAGUCAGUUGUGAAAUCUCCGAGCUUAACUCGGAAAGGUCAACUGAUACUGUGCGGCUAGAGUGCGGAAGGGGCAACUGGAAUUCUUGGUGUAGCGGUGAAAUGCGUAGAUAUCAAGAGGAACACCUGCGGCGAAGGCGGGUUGCUGGGCCGACACUGACGCUGAGGCGCGAAAGCCAGGGGAGCGAACGGG